rnacentral:rRNA from 1 species
CAGCCGCCGCGGGAAUACGUAGGUGGCAAGCGUUGUCCGGAAUUAUUGGGCGUAAAGGGCUCGCAGGCGGUUUCUUAAGUUUGAUGUGAAAGCCCCCGGCUCAACCGGGGAGGGUCAUUGGAAACUGGGAAACUUGAGUGCAGAAGAGGAGAGUGGAAUUCCACGUGUAGCGGUGAAAUGCGUAGAGAUGUGGAGGAACACCAGUGGCGAAGGCGACUCUCUGGUCUGUAACUGACGCUGAGGAGCGAAAGCGUGGGGAGCGAACAGGAUUAGAUACCCCCGUAGUCCCUGUCUCUUAUAC